CAGUAGCCGCGGUAAUGCGUAGGUGGCAAGCGUUGUCCGGAUUUAUUGGGCGUAAAGCGAGCGCAGGCGGUCAAUUAAGUCUGAUGUGAAAGCCCCCGGCUCAACCGGGGAGGGUCAUUGGAAACUGGUUGACUUGAGUGCAGAAGAGGAGAGUGGAAUUCCAUGUGUAGCGGUGAAAUGCGUAGAUAUAUGGAGGAACACCAGUGGCGAAGGCGACUCUCUGGUCUGUAACAGACGCUGAGGCUCGAAAGCGUGGGUAGCAAACAGGAUUAGAUACCCGCGUAGUCCCUGUCUCUUAUAC
rnacentral:rRNA from 1 species